CUACGGGGGGCACCAGUGGGGAAUAUUGCACAAUGGGCGAAAGCCUGAUGCAGCAACGCCGCGUGAGGGACGACGGCCUUCGGGUUGUAAACCUCUUUUAGCAGGGAAGAAGCGAAAGUGACGGUACCUGCAGAAAAAGCACCGGCUAACUACGUGCCAGCAGCCGCGGUAUACGUAGGGUGCAAGCGUUGUCCGGAAUUAUUGGGCGUAAAGAGCUCGUAGGCGGUUUGUCGCAUCUGCUGUGAAAAUCCGAGGCUCAACCUCGGACCUGCAGUGGGUACGGGCAAACUAGAGUGCGGUAGGGGAGAUUGGAAUUCCUGGUGUAGCGGUGGAAUGCGCAGAUAUCAGGAGGAACACCAAUGGCGAAGGCAGAUCUCUGGGCCGUAACUGACGCUGAGGAGCGAAAGCGUGGGGAGCGAACAGGAUUAGAUACCCGGGUAGUC
rnacentral:rRNA from 1 species